GUAGGGGGCAAGCGUUGUCCGGAUUUAUUGGGCGUAAAGAGCUCGUAGGCGGUUCGAUAAGUCGGACGUGAAAUCUCCACGCUUAACGUGGAGGGGCCGUUCGGUACUGUCGUGACUCGAGUCCGGUAGGGGAGUGUGGAAUUCCCGGUGUAGCGGUGAAAUGCGCAGAGAUCGGGAGGAACACCCGUAGCGAAGGCGGCACUCUGGGCCGGUACUGACGCUGAGGAGCGAAAGCGUGGGGAGCAAACAGGAUUAGAUACCCUGGUAGUCCACGCCGUAAACGUUGGGCACUAGGUGUGGGACUCUAUCGACGGGUUCCGUGCCGUAGCUAACGCAUUAAGUGCCCCGCCUGGGGAGUACGGCCGCAAGGCUA
rnacentral:rRNA from 1 species